CCUACGGGGGGCAGCAGUGGGGAAUAUUGCACAAUGGGCGAAAGCCUGAUGCAGCAACGCCGCGUGAGCGAUGAAGGCCUUCGGGUCGUAAAGCUCUGUCCUCAAGGAAGAUAAUGACGGUACUUGAGGACGAAGCCCCGGCUAACUCCGUGCCAGCAGCCGCGGUAAUACGUAGGGGGCGAGCGUUAUCCGGAAUUACUGGGUGUAAAGGGUGCGUAGGUGGGUUCUUAAGUCAGCGGUGAAAGGCUACGGCUCAACCGUAGUAAGCCUUUGAAACUGGGGAACUUGAGUGCAGGAGAGGUGUGUGGAAGUCGUAGUGUAGCGGUGAAAUGCAUAGAUAUUAGGCAGAACACCAGUUGCGAAGGCGGCUCUCUGGACUGUAACUGACACUGAGGCACGAAAGCGUGGGGAUCGAACAGGAUUAGAUACCCCUGUAGUC
rnacentral:rRNA from 1 species